rnacentral:rRNA from 1 species
UACGUAGGGUGCGAGCGUUAAUCGGAAUUACUGGGCGUAAAGCGUGCGCAGGCGGUGAUGUAAGACCGAUGUGAAAUCCCCGGGCUUAACCUGGGAACUGCAUUGGUGACUGUAUUGCUGGAGUAUGGCAGAGGGGGGUGGAAUUCCACGUGUAGCAGUGAAAUGCGUAGAGAUGUGGAGGAACACCGAUGGCGAAGGCAGCCCCCUGGGCCAAUACUGACGCUCAUGCACGAAAGCGUGGGGAGCAAACAGG